rnacentral:misc_RNA from 1 species
UAUAUAACGGCUGAAAUUCAAAAUGGUGGCAAAGUUUAUAUGACAAUAUUUGAUCUCUAUAACAAUCGAUUUAAGUGAUAUGAAGAUGUAAUUUCUGAACUAAGAUAUAUGAUUGUCGUACUCUAAGGAAAUAUUUACCAAACUGAAAUAACAAGUUGUUGUGUGGAGUCGACUCUAACGAUCAGCCAUGGUUAAGAUCAAGCAUUUCCUAAGCAACAUCAUGCCGACUAACUACAGAGGUCAAAAGUAUUCGUCGAUCCGGAGCGAGCACGUUAAAGCCGGAACGCUGUUUGAGGACCCGGAAUUCAAAAUCAACAACAAAUCACUAUUCUUUAGUAAGAUUGAUCAAGAUAUCGAGUGGAAAAGACCCAGGGAGCUGUGUAAGGUACCUAAGCUGGUGGUCGAGGGGGUCAGUUGUGAUGACCUCAACCAAGGGGAGUUGGGGAACUCCUGGUUUGUCACCGCAUGCGCCAGCCUCACUCUGGAAAAGAAACUGUUUGAACGGGUGGUGCCUAAUACGAAGGAGCAGGACUGGAAUGAGCGGGAGGAGAAGAACACGUAUGGUGGUGUGUUCCACUUCGUGUUAUGGCGGUACGGGGAGUGGAUUGACGUCGUAGUGGACGAUAGGCUGCCAACCAAGAACGGCAAGCUGGUGUUCUGUCACUCCAAGUCCCGCAACGAGUUCUGGUCCGCUCUACUGGAAAAGGCGUACGCCAAGUUAUAUGGGGAUUACGAGUCCCUCAACACCGGACGGACGGCUGACGCACUGGUAGACUUUACCGGUGGGGUGGCGGAGAAGCUUGCAAUGGCGAGAAUUAACAUUGACGACAAGAACAUAAAAAAGCAGUUGUUUCUCAAGCUGAAGGACGCAAGCGACAACAGAGCACUCAUGAACUGCAAUAUAGAUUGUCAGAGGACGGAGGUUGGCAAGGAGACCCCCCAGGGUUUGGUUCUGGGUCACGGUUACAACAUCACAAAGGUGGCUGAGAUUGUUAUAGAUAAGAAACUGCAGGGCGCGGUGGGGAGUCCUGUUCUCAAUAUGGUCCGAAUGGCCAACCCCUGGGGAACCAUGGAGUGGACAGGCGCCUGGUCUGACGACGCUCCAGAAUGGAACAAAAUCAACCGAUCUGAAUGGCACAAACUUGGUUUGAAGUUUGAACAGGAAGGCGAAUUUUGGAUGAACUUUGACGACUUUGUUGUAAAUUUUACAAAUGUUGACAUAUGUCACUUUGUAAACACUGCCAUAUUCAGCCUAAAGAAAUCCUGGAAUGAAUGUGUGUUUCACAGCGAAUGGACAUAUUCCGGUAGAAACGGUGGGAACGACUACAAUAGCCCCACCUUCCUUAGUAACCCACAGUACGUAUUUGAUGUUGCCGGUAUGAGUGACAACGUUAUGUUCUCACUAGAACAACAGGACAUCGUUCAUGGUCAAGAAUCCGGCCGCAAACUCAACCACAUCGGCUUCCAGGUGAUGAAGGUAGAAGAAAAUCGAAAAUUCAGAGUCCAUAUACCUGGAGAAAAAAUGUACUGUUCGGAAUACAUCGCCGAUCGUAGUAUAUAUGGCAUAAUAAACUUAAAGAAAGGGCGAUACGUUGUGUUACCCACGACCACAGACUCUAAAGAGUUAGGUCCAUUUAUGCUGCGGAUGUACACUGGCAGCAAAGCCUCAGGAAGUGGCAAGUUUGCAUCACCAAGGGAGCUUGACAAGGAGUGCCCGUCUGCCGGCUGUCCUUGUACGGCCAACGCUAAACUCGUCACCACCCUUCAUGUGACGGGCGCAGAAGGACUGGAGCUCCCUACCGGUUCAAAGGUCAAAACAAUUGACACAUUCGUCAUUAUUAAAUGUGAAGGCGAGAAAGUGACGUCACAGACCUGUGCUAACACAGCCAAACCGAGCUGGGAAAUCAAGACUACCUUCUAUAGGAAAAAGCCCGAGGAACCCAUCCUGGUGGAGGUGUGGAACGACAACGUGCUCAUAGACGACUGCCUGGGGGAGGCUCGCGUGUCGGAGGAAGGAUCUGAGGAAGGGGACAUAACAACUGUUGACAUCAUGGGCAGAAAGAAAGAAAAGGAAAUCCAUAAAGGCAAACUCCACAUUUUUAUACGUUCAAGUCACGAUCUACAGUAUUUGUGAAGAUUGGAUGGAUGUUGUUAUAUCUAUAUUUAUUAUCAAUCUGAGGAUUGGGACUAUCUGUUAAAUAUUAGGUCUUUUCACAAUCAAGUCAGUUCUGUUGUGGAGCAGUCAGGAGAUAGACAUGUUUGAAAAUCAUCCAAUACGUCUGUUUUAGAAGACAAUUUUGGCGUGCUAAAUCCUCUCCGUCAAAGCCACAUAAACUAUAACCAUGCAGGGUACGUACGAUUCUUAUAGUAUCUUAUAUAUAUCACUAGUUUAUAUAAGAAGCAUAGUUCCACCAGGUGUUUACACUUAACAAAUGGUUGUAAUAUGUGAUCUUGAUAUAGAUAUAAUCUUCACCGCAAGCACGGAUUACAUUAUCAUCUUUAUCAUAUGAGAGGUCUGUUUCUAAAAGUGCACCUUGUGAACAAUUUCAGUGUAAAGGAAAGCUCCUUUACAUCAGAAAACCUUCAGCCUUAAUACUUUCCAAAAAUUGUUUAGUACUUAUGAAAUCUGAAAAGUAUUUUGAUGAGAACCGGAUCAUGUUCUUUACUCUUCCCACGUUGCCAUUAAUGCUAUAUUCAGACUGAGCCAAAACACCAAAAUGAUUUGCUGACCCAAGCAGAUUCAAGAAGAUCUUUAUCUUUCAUUUUUUAUUGUAUUUUCCUUUUAACGAUAGCGAGACCUGGCGAAAGGCUUUAAAUUAAUAGAGAGUGUAUAUUUUAAAGUGUCUGGGCGUGCUACCAGGUGUUUUAUCAAUUGAACGGCAUAAUCCCAUAGAAAAGUAUGAAUUUAUUAUUUUUGUAGGAAAACCACCAUAACCUAACAUAGGCUUAGAUACUAAUUGAAAAUAACUUCAGAAUUUAAAAAUUUAUCAGAUGAAUGAAUUACAUGUGUUUAUGUGGCACUCAAUAAUUAGACAAAAGUCGUUUAACCCUUUCACACAUAUGGAACUUUAAUAGACUCUUCCAUACAUUUAAAUGGAUGAGUCCAAUAUGGAAUACAGUGGUGAAGGACACUGAAUAAUAUCUAUAUCUUCAGUAGACAUUCUCUGAUGCAUAUACACUUACUAAUGAACAAUAGAAUGCUGAAUUCAGUUACAUAGUAUAUUAAAUACUGUAGCCUAUGUGAUAACACUGUAUAUGAAUGCGUUUCUGUAGAUACUGAUGUAUGUGUAUAUAAUAGCAUAUACAAUACCUAAAGAAUUCAUCACUUUAUCAUAUGUGAUAGUAGUGUAUGGUUGCGUCUCUGUAGAUAAUUAACUGAUACACACAAUGUAUACAACUUAAGUCCCUAUCACUGGUCAUUGUGUGAUGGGGUGUUAUGUAAAGGUAUUUGUACUGUAUUGCUUUGUUUCUGUAAAUAACACAUUCAUACAUAUGCUCACUAGUUUAAAUGGAAAAACAAACUUAUUUUAUUGGUUGUUUUAUAAAUAGUUCUGUUGUGUUGACCUAUCAAAUCUUCAUUUUUCAUAUUACUUUGAUUGCAGAUUCCGUCCAAUAAUAUAUUGAAAAAUAUUGAAAAUAUAUUUAUAGUAACUGUUUACACAUAAUUAUGUUAUUUUUUUCUACAAGGUAACUUAUCAGAAAAUCGUGAGAGAUAUUGCAAUUUUACAAUAUUUGAUAUAAACUUUCCAUUUCAUAUGUACUAUUGUAUUGAUACAGUAACAUUCUUAACUCUUUCUCGAUUAUAAAGCUAUUUCUGUGAUAAAUCUUGGAUAAUUCUCAUUGUAAACUUUACAAAUAUUAUAUUUUUUUAUUACUUAGACACGAGUGUAUAUAUAGUAUGUGUCUAUUGUUUAAGUCCACCUGACCACCUGACCACCUGACCACCUGACCACUUGACCACUUGACCACCUCUAUUAUGCGACCGUUCAUGUUUAGAGACCACUUUUACCACUCCCCAUUGUAGAGAUAUCAUUGUGAACCGAACUUGCAUCAAGAGGCCACUUUGAAUUCUCCGGAGAUAGGUGAAGGUGGUCUCUUAAUAUUGGUAUGACUAUAGUAUUUAAUUCACGAGGGUUUGUUUGCCUUUUGAAAAAAAAUGCGAGUUUUAAACUGAACUCAUUUUCAACCCGCUUUACUAGAAUAAGGAUUAAAGGAAAGUUUUCAACAUCCAUGCCAGGAUGAUCGCGAAUCGGCUACGACAAUAUUUCAUAUAGUCCGAGGAUUUUAUAUUAAAUAUUGAUGUAGAGUAUUUGCAUUCAUGCCGUCAUGAAUAUUAAGGGAACUCCGUACAUUAAGUGUAUUUACUUUUUCUGUAACGUCAGUCAAAACGACAAUCUGGGAAAAUCCUAACGUAAAAUUGAAAACUGAACUGACUUGCAUUAUUCGAGGCAGAAGGGUCAAAGUGAUACCUCUAUGAUUACACUCUCUUCUCUGGCAGUCGUUACACGGACUCGCUGUGAAAAUGCAAAUUUUCAUGUGUGUUGUACAUUAUUUUGUUAGAAUCUGUAGUUUGUAUUUAAAUGCAAAUUUCUUUAAAAAGACAUAUACAACAUACGUACUUAAAUUGAGAGGCCGUUAUUCCCUUAUGUAACAAUGUAUCACUGUGCAUCUGGGAAAUUCGAGUAGUAUUUUAUGUGAAUCUAUGGGGAGGUGAUUGCGCUUGACUGGAAUGAAGAUUUGCAGUCGGAUCAUGUUCAAAGCACGCCAACACGCAUAGAUUCGCAUAACUCAUUAGUAAUUUGAAUAUAUGCAAAUUGGAAAGGAUCCAUGUUUACCAGAUUUCAGGAGCUUUUUCAAGUAAUCUGAUAGAAGCAAUAAUUAUAAUGUUGUGUGCAUUAUGUCAAUGCGAUAAUUUUAAAUCCCAAAACUUAUUUUUGUUGUCGUUAAAUUAUCAAAUACUACAAAAGUGUGAUUUUACCUGAUGUAACUUCAAUCUAACGUACAAGGUGUGUUAUGUCUGUAAUGAUUUGUAUAUAAUAUAACUUUGAUGAUAAUGUUGUAAGUAAAAUGUGAUAUAGCUGUUUUAUUGAAUUUUGUAUGUCUAUUCAAAUCAUAGACAUUUAUCUAUGCCAAUGUGGUUGACACUUGUUAAUACAAGCUAUGGAAGCACAGACAAGUGUUUAAACAAAGGUAAUGUCUUGAUAUUGUUUCCGUGAAAUCAUCAGACAUGCUGUUUAUAUCGAUUUCCUGUUUCAAUGAUGACAUCGAGGUAUCAAGGAUUCGAUUAUUCAGAACUUUAUGUCAAACAGGUCUAGUAAAUAUGAAAAGGAAAGGAAUAAGAAACAGUGCAUAUUUUUUUCAAUUAUUACGUUUAUAAAAAUGGCCAUGUAUAUCAUACAAUACUUCUUUUCUACCUUAUCUUACAAUUGUCAUGUGAUUUCUUACUGUGAUAACGCGGUUUUUUAUCGUUAAUUUAUAUUUAUUUACAUAGUAUAAGUUAUAUUACCAGGACGUGUGUCUCUUGACAACAAAUGUAUAUUGUUACAAAAACAGAUUUCAAAAUAUCAUGCAUCAUUUGAGAACUAUUUUGAAUAAAAUAA